GUAGGUAUAGCUCAGUGGUAGAGUUCAUGCUUAACAUACAUGAGGUCCUGGGUUUGAUCCCCCGUACCUCCA
rnacentral:tRNA from 1 species